CACAAAUAAUAGAAAGACUUCCAGAAGUUUUAGAGAGAGAGAGAAGAGAGAUACGGUGGAAGGACCAUCUUUUCUGGUGGUGAACCCGGCUGCGCACGAUAGCGCCUCUCACUUCCGACGCAUAAACGACUGCCAUGGUGGUGGUGAGUUGUGGAGCUGUACUUCGGAAACAAACCCGGGCCGGUCAAUGAACCCGGUUCAAGGCGUUUGUGGUGGUGGAUGAUGGUAACAGGCACGUGGGUUUGGGGGUGAAGUGUUCGAAGGAGGUUGCGAUUGCUAUUAGGGGUGCGAUUAUUCUAGCGUGUAUUCCGGUAAACUAUGACGAGUCUCCGGCGAAGAUCCGUGUAAAGAAUUUUGACAGUUGAUAUCUAUUGAAACCAACAGUUCAAAGAGGCAAGGUAUGAAGAUUUGACUCAAGUUAUUGGUUUUUGAGCUGAGUGGGGGUUGCUACAAUUUAGUAAGGUUAUCUUAGAUCAUGUGCAAACAAAAUGUAAACAAAUAGUUAUACAAGGGUACACUGAUCCACAUGUCAUAUCCGACCCAAUUGAAGCAAUAAGUCAUGCUACAAAGCUUUUGCGGCUUCAGCUGAACAACCGGGAACACAUACAACCGUGCAAAUCAAAACACGUGACAAGGCCCACUUCUUUUUAUCUUCAAGACUUCAAUUAUGUACAGUAUAGGAAUCAAGUCGAGACGGGCUCAAGCACGAGGUGUUAACGGGCCAAGAGGAAGCAAGGGAUCGGAUAUGAACACGGAUGCAUGAGGAACGAGUACAUCGGAUUCUUACGAAAUUUAAGCCCAACCCGGAAUAAGAGGAUGAGUGAUACACGGACUUCUUCUGCUACUUAGGAAGUGAAGCGGACGUAGAUCGAGUCAAGAGCAAGGAUUGCACGGAUAGAUCGAUCAUAUAGUUGAAAUAUAUAACGUCUAGAAAUGUAAAUUUUAGUAUGAAUGUUGUGAAUUAUUUUAUAGAACGUUUAACAUUUUAGCUUUUGGAACCUUCUCGAAAGUAAUGUCGUUAAUAAGGAAAGAAAUUUUAAAGCUCUU
rnacentral:lncRNA from 1 species